rnacentral:tRNA from 1 species
GCCCAGCUGGCUCAACCGGCAGAGCCUGUGACUCUUGAUCGCAGGGUUGUGAGUUCGAGCCCCACACUGGGUG